rnacentral:rRNA from 1 species
UAUUAAAGGUCCUGCCUGCCCAGUGAAACUUAUUUUAACGGCCGCGGUAUUCUAACCGUGCAAAGGUAGCGUAAUCACUUGUCUUCUAAAUAAAGACCAGUAUGAACGGCUAAAUGAGGACAAGCCUGUCUCCUACGCCCCAUCAGUGAAACUGAUCUCCCCGUCCAAAAGCGGGGAUACCUACACAAGACGAGAAGACCCUGUGGAGCUUUAAACCUACUACUAACAAGCCAAGGGCCCUUAGUAUAAGUUUUAAGUUGGGGCGACUUCGGAACAAAGCAAAACUUCCGAGCAUGGAACCAAAACUUCCACCCGAAGCUAACAAGCUAAAGCAAAAAUUGACCCAGUCACACUGAACAACGAACCAAGUUACCCCAGGGAUAACAGCGCUAUCUUCUUCAAGAGUCCCUAUCGACAAGAAGGUUUACGACCUCGAUGUUGGAUCAGGACACCCAAAUGGUGCAGCCGCUAUUAAAGGUUCG